CUGAAUGCCAAGGGAACAGAAGCACCCGCAGUAGUGACAGAGGAGGAGGAUGAUGAUGAAGAGACUGCUCCUCCCGUUAUUGCCCCGCGACCGGAUCAUACGAAAUCAAUUUACACACGGUCUGUAAUUGACCCUGUUCCUGCACCAGUUGGUGAUUCACAUGUUGAUGGUGCUGCCAAGUCUUUAGACAAACAGAAAAAGAAGACUAAGAUGACAGAUGAAGAGAUUAUGGAGAAAUUAAGUAUGUUAUCUACAUUUUACAUCAUUGUUAAAUUGUUCACAGCUCUUAAAACAUUUGGCCCAGACGGAUUUUAACUUACACUUUACACUGUGACUUAAAGUAUAAAGAAUAAAUUGUUUCCUUAUAGCAA
rnacentral:sRNA from 1 species